GACGAACGCUGGCGGCGUGCUUAACACAUGCAGGUCGAACGGAAAGGCCCUGCUCUUGUGGGGUGCUCGAGUGGCGAACGGGUGAGUAACACGCGAGUAACCUGCCCCUGUCUUUGGGAUAACUCUAGGAAACUGGGGCUCAUAUAGCAUAGGAGCUCCUGCUGCACGGGGGGGGACGGUAAGUGUCGGCGGUUGGGGAUAGACUCGCGGCUUAUCAGCUUGUUUGGGAGGUAGUGGCUUACCAAGGCUUUGACGGGUAGCCGGCCUGGGAGGGUGACCGGCCACAUUGGGACUGAGGUACGGCGCAGACUCGUACGGGAGGCAGCGGUGGGGAAUAUUGCACAAUGAGCGGAAGCCUGAUGAAGCGACGCCGCGUGCGGGAUAACGGCCUACGGGUUAUAAACCGCUUUCGACUGUGACGAAGCGUGAGUGACGGUAAUGAGUAAAGAAGCACCGGCUAACUACGUG
rnacentral:rRNA from 1 species